CUUACAGGGAAAGAGAAAGAAAGCCAUAAAGAAUUUACAAAGAAAAUUCUUGGCACUAGUAAUGGAGCUUCUUCCCUAUCCCCAUACAUGCUUCUAGCCUUCAAUUGCACAACAUCCUUAAUCCAUUCCACACCAAAACAAAAUUCAAUUAUAAAUAAACAUAUAAAUAAACAUCUUCAAGAUUUCUUUAUCUUCUCCAUGAUCAAGACCCUCAGAACACCUUCAAGCUGUGAUAUGAUCAUGUUGAUAAAAUUGGCAGCAGCAGCAGCAGCAAGAAUGUAAGCAAAAUCUUCUAUUGUUGUUUCAAUAUAUAUAGUCCC
rnacentral:lncRNA from 1 species